rnacentral:rRNA from 1 species
GAUGAACGCUGGCGGCGUGCCUAAUACAUGCAAGUCGAGCGAACGGACGAGAAGCUUGCUUCUCUGAUGUUAGCGGCGGACGGGUGAGUAACACGUGGAUAACCUACCUAUAAGACUGGGAUAACUUCGGGAAACCGGAGCUAAUACCGGAUGAUAUUUUGAACCGCAUGGUUCAAAAGUGAAAGACGGUCUUGCUGUCACUUAUAGAUGGAUCCGCGCUGCAUUAGCUAGUUGGUAAGGUAACGGCUUACCAAGGCAACGAUGCAUAGCCGACCUGAGAGGGUGAUCGGCCGCACUGGAACUGAGACACGGUCCAGACUCCUACGGGAGGCAGCAGUAGGGAAUCUUCCGCAAUGGGCGAAAGCCUGACGGAGCAACGCCGCGUGAGUGAUGAAGGUCUUCGGAUCGUAAAACUCUGUUAUUAGGGAAGAACAUAUGUGUAAGUAACUGUGCACAUCUUGACGGUACCUAAUCAGAAAGCCACGGCUAACUACGUGCCAGCAGCCGCGGUAAUACGUAGGUGGCAAGCGUUAUCCGGAAUUAUUGGGCGUAAAGCGCGCGUAGGCGGUUUUUUAAGUCUGAUGUGAAAGCCCACGGCUCAACCGUGGAGGGUCAUUGGAAACUGGAAAACUUGAGUGCAGAAGAGGAAAGUGGAAUUCCAUGUGUAGCGGUGAAAUGCGCAGGAGAUAUGGAGGAACACCAGUGGCGAAGGCGACUUUCUGGUCUGUAACUGACGCUGAUGUGCGAAAGCGUGGGGAUCAAACAGGAUUAGAUACCCUGGUAGUCCACCCCGUAAACGAUGAGUGCUAAGUGUUAGGGGGUUUCCGCCCCUUAGUGCUGCAGCUAACGCAUUAAGCACUCCGCCUGGGGAGUACGACCGCAAGGUUGAAACUCAAAGGAAUUGACGGGGACCCGCACAAGCGGUGGAGCAUGUGGUUUAAUUCGAAGCAACGCGAAGAACCUUACCAAAUCUUGACAUCCUUUGACAACUCUAGAGAUAGAGCCUUCCCCUUCGGGGGACAAAGUGACAGGUGGUGCAUGGUUGUCGUCAGCUCGUGUCGUGAGAUGUUGGGUUAAGUCCCGCAACGAGCGCAACCCUUAAGCUUAGUUGCCAUCAUUAAGUUGGGCACUCUAAGUUGACUGCCGGUGACAAACCGGAGGAAGGUGGGGAUGACGUCAAAUCAUCAUGCCCCUUAUGAUUUGGGCUACACACGUGCUACAAUGGACAAUACAAAGGGCAGCGAAACCGCGAGGUCAAGCAAAUCCCAUAAAGUUGUUCUCAGUUCGGAUUGUAGUCUGCAACUCGACUACAUGAAGCUGGAAUCGCUAGUAAUCGUAGAUCAGCAUGCUACGGUGAAUACGUUCCCGGGUCU